GACGGAGGGUGCUAGCGUUGUUCGGAAUGACUGGGCGUAAAGGGCGCGUAGGCGGCUCGUGAAGUCGGGUGUGAAAGCCCGGGGCUCAACCCCGGAACGGCAUCCGAUACUGGCGGGCUUGAGACCGGGAGAGGAGGGUGGAAUACCCAGUGUAGAGGUGAAAUUCGUAGAUAUUGGGUGGAACACCGGUGGCGAAAGCGGCUCUCUGGCCCGGAUCUGACGCUGAGGCGCGAAGGCGUGGGGAGCAAACAGG
rnacentral:rRNA from 1 species